rnacentral:rRNA from 1 species
GGUUAAGCGACUAAGCGUACACGGUGGAUGCCCUGGCAGUCAGAGGCGAUGAAGGACGUGCUAAUCUGCGAUAAGCGUCGGUAAGGUGAUAUGAACCGUUAUAACCGGCGAUUUCCGAAUGGGGAAACCCAGUGUGAUUCGUCACACUAUCAUUAACUGAAUCCAUAGGUUAAUGAGGCGAACCGGGGGAACUGAAACAUCUAAGUACCCCGAGGAAAAGAAAUCAACCGAGAUUCCCCCAGUAGCGGCGAGCGAACGGGGAGGAGCCCAGAGCCUGAAUCAGUGUGUGUGUUAGUGGAAGCGUCUGGAAAGGCGCGCGAUACAGGGUGACAGCCCCGUACACAAAAAUGCACAUGCUGUGAGCUCGAUGAGUAGGGCGGGACACGUGGUAUCCUGUCUGAAUAUGGGGGGACCAUCCUCCAAGGCUAAAUACUCCUGACUGACCGAUAGUGAACCAGUACCGUGAGGGAAAGGCGAAAAGAACCCCGGCGAGGGGAGUGAAAAAGAACCUGAAACCGUGUACGUACAAGCAGUGGGAGCCUCUUUAUGGGGUGACUGCGUACCUUUUGUAUAAUGGGUCAGCGACUUAUAUUCUGUAGCAAGGUUAACCGAAUAGGGGAGCCGAAGGGAAACCGAGUCUUAACUGGGCGUUAAGUUGCAGGGUAUAGACCCGAAACCCGGUGAUCUAGCCAUGGGCAGGUUGAAGGUUGGGUAACACUAACUGGAGGACCGAACCGACUAAUGUUGAAAAAUUAGCGGAUGACUUGUGGCUGGGGGUGAAAGGCCAAUCAAACCGGGAGAUAGCUGGUUCUCCCCGAAAGCUAUUUAGGUAGCGCCUCGUGAAUUCAUCUCCGGGGGUAGAGCACUGUUUCGGCAAGGGGGUCAUCCCGACUUACCAACCCGAUGCAAACUGCGAAUACCGGAGAAUGUUAUCACGGGAGACACACGGCGGGUGCUAACGUCCGUCGUGAAGAGGGAAACAACCCAGACCGCCAGCUAAGGUCCCAAAGUCAUGGUUAAGUGGGAAACGAUGUGGGAAGGCCCAGACAGCCAGGAUGUUGGCUUAGAAGCAGCCAUCAUUUAAAGAAAGCGUAAUAGCUCACUGGUCGAGUCGGCCUGCGCGGAAGAUGUAACGGGGCUAAACCAUGCACCGAAGCUGCGGCAGCGACACUAUGUGUUGUUGGGUAGGGGAGCGUUCUGUAAGCCUGCGAAGGUGUACUGUGAGGUAUGCUGGAGGUAUCAGAAGUGCGAAUGCUGACAUAAGUAACGAUAAAGCGGGUGAAAAGCCCGCUCGCCGGAAGACCAAGGGUUCCUGUCCAACGUUAAUCGGGGCAGGGUGAGUCGACCCCUAAGGCGAGGCCGAAAGGCGUAGUCGAUGGGAAACAGGUUAAUAUUCCUGUACUUGGUGUUACUGCGAAGGGGGGACGGAGAAGGCUAUGUUGGCCGGGCGACGGUUGUCCCGGUUUAAGCGUGUAGGCUGGUUUUCCAGGCAAAUCCGGAAAAUCAAGGCUGAGGCGUGAUGACGAGGCACUACGGUGCUGAAGCAACAAAUGCCCUGCUUCCAGGAAAAGCCUCUAAGCAUCAGGUAACAUCAAAUCGUACCCCAAACCGACACAGGUGGUCAGGUAGAGAAUACCAAGGCGCUUGAGAGAACUCGGGUGAAGGAACUAGGCAAAAUGGUGCCGUAACUUCGGGAGAAGGCACGCUGAUAUGUAGGUGAAGUCCCUCGCGGAUGGAGCUGAAAUCAGUCGAAGAUACCAGCUGGCUGCAACUGUUUAUUAAAAACACAGCACUGUGCAAACACGAAAGUGGACGUAUACGGUGUGACGCCUGCCCGGUGCCGGAAGGUUAAUUGAUGGGGUUAGCGGUAACGCGAAGCUCUUGAUCGAAGCCCCGGUAAACGGCGGCCGUAACUAUAACGGUCCUAAGGUAGCGAAAUUCCUUGUCGGGUAAGUUCCGACCUGCACGAAUGGCGUAAUGAUGGCCAGGCUGUCUCCACCCGAGACUCAGUGAAAUUGAACUCGCUGUGAAGAUGCAGUGUACCCGCGGCAAGACGGAAAGACCCCGUGAACCUUUACUAUAGCUUGACACUGAACAUUGAGCCUUGAUGUGUAGGAUAGGUGGGAGGCUUUGAAGUGUGGACGCCAGUCUGCAUGGAGCCGACCUUGAAAUACCACCCUUUAAUGUUUGAUGUUCUAACGUUGGCCCCUGAUCGGGGUUGCGGACAGUGUCUGGUGGGUAGUUUGACUGGGGCGGUCUCCUCCUAAAGAGUAACGGAGGAGCACGAAGGUUGGCUAAUCCUGGUCGGACAUCAGGAGGUUAGUGCAAUGGCAUAAGCCAGCUUGACUGCGAGCGUGACGGCGCGAGCAGGUGCGAAAGCAGGUCAUAGUGAUCCGGUGGUUCUGAAUGGAAGGGCCAUCGCUCAACGGAUAAAAGGUACUCCGGGGAUAACAGGCUGAUACCGCCCAAGAGUUCAUAUCGACGGCGGUGUUUGGCACCUCGAUGUCGGCUCAUCACAUCCUGGGGCUGAAGUAGGUCCCAAGGGUAUGGCUGUUCGCCAUUUAAAGUGGUACGCGAGCUGGGUUUAGAACGUCGUGAGACAGUUCGGUCCCUAUCUGCCGUGGGCGCUGGAGAACUGAGGGGGGCUGCUCCUAGUACGAGAGGACCGGAGUGGACGCAUCACUGGUGUUCGGGUUGUCAUGCCAAUGGCACUGCCCGGUAGCUAAAUGCGGAAGAGAUAAGUGCUGAAAGCAUCUAAGCACGAAACUUGCCCCGAGAUGAGUUCUCCCUGACUCCUUGAGAGUCCUGAAGGAACGUUGAAGACGACGACGUUGAUAGGCCGGGUGUGUAAGCGCAGCGAUGCGUUGAGCUAACCGGUACUAAUGAACCGUGAGGCUUAACCUU